UUCCGAGGGGGCCCUUAUCUCUGUGUGUGCGCGCGCGCCUAUAUUGAUGUGCCAUGAUGUGCGUCUCGAGCCUGUCUGUUUUCACCAUCUUCUUUGCUGUUGUCUCACACUCGUUUGGUUCUCCAGUGGCGCACGAGCAUGGGAGGGAAGCUGGUGUCGUCCUAGCGCGAUCCGUGGAACCUGAGCCACAUUCCCAUGCUUCAAUCACCCUGUGAAAGUGAUGCUCUGGGAUGGAAAUGAAUUGGCUGCAGGAUCUGGAUUAGUAAUGCUGGAGGUGUGACCCUGGAUGUUGAGGGGGGGAAGGUACUCUCUAAACCUGCUCAAACAAGUGCCAUAAAUGUUCAUAGCUGGAACCUUUUAUGUUUAACAUUGGAGACUCCUUCUGUCAGUGUCAGCACUUUGCAACAGUCUGAGGAAAGGGGUGCUGAGGGAUAUUCCAUCUCUCGACUCUGUUGCCUCGCUUGGUCUGUGCACGAGUUCACGGACGAUUCCUCAGAUGAAUGUAUGGCUCUGAAUAAAUAUCAAAUUCCUGAAAA